rnacentral:rRNA from 1 species
UCUAGUAUAAGCAAUUAUACAGCGAAACUGCGAAUGGCUCAUUAUAUAAGUUAUCGUUUAUUUGAUAGUGCCUUACUACUUGGAUAACCGUGGUAAUUCUAGAGCUAAUACAUGCUGAAAGCCCCGACUCACGGAGGGGCGUAUUUAUUAGAUUAAAAACCAAUGCCCUUCGGGGCUCCUUGGUGAUUCAUGAUAACUUCUCGAAUCGCACGGCCUUGCGCCGGCGAUGGUUCAUUCAAAUUUCUUCCCUAUCAACUUUCGAUGUUUGGGUAGUGGCCAAACAUGGUGGCAACGGGUAACGGAGGGUUAGGGCUCGACCCCGGAGAAGGAGCCUGAGAAACGGCUCCUACAUCCAAGGAAGGCAGCAGGCGCGCAAAUUACCCAAUCCCGACUCGGGGAGGUAGUGACAAUAAAUACUGAUGCAGGGCUCUUUAGGGUCUUGCAAUUGGAAUGAGUACAAUUUAAAUCCCUUAACGAGGAACAAUUGGAGGGCAAGUCUGGUGCCAGCAGCCGCGGUAACUCCAGCUCCAAUAGCGUAUAUUAAAGUUGUUGUGGUUAAAAAGCUCGUAGUUGAACCUUGGGCCUGGCCGUCCGGUCCGCCUCACCGCGUGCACUGGCACGGCCGGGCCUUCCCACCGCGGAAUCGCAUGCCCUUUACUGGGCGUGUCGGGGAAGCGGUACUUUUACUGUGAAAAAAUUAGAGUGCUCUAAGCAGGCCUAUGCUCGAAUACAUUAGCAUGGAAUAAUAGAAUAGGACAGGCGUUCUAUUUUGUUGGUUUCUAGGACGUCUGUAAUGAUUAACAGAAACAAUCGGGGGCGUCAGUAUUGCAUCGUCAGAGGUGAAAUUCUUAGAUCGACGCAAGACUAACUACUGCGAAAGCAUUCGCCAAGGGUGUUUUCAUUAAUCAGGAACGAAAGUUAGGGGAUCGAAGACGAUCAGAUACCGUCGUAGUCUUAACCAUAAACUAUGCCGACUAGGGAUCGGGCGGUGUUAAUUUUUGACCCGCUCGGCACCUUACGAGAAAUCUUAAGUGCUGGGCUCCAGGGGAG